CCCACCCUGACCACCCCACCUCAGUUUCGCCUACUCUUUCUUUCUCUCUCAUCUCGUUUUUCCAGAUCUGAAACCUCGAAACUUCUCCCCCCUUAAGAUAAUCCUAAUCAAUCUUGUGCUUUCAUUCAACAUCUCCUAUAACCAGUAACCCAUCCAAAUUUGUCCAUUUUCUCUGAAAAAUAAGCUCUACGAAAAUGGCAGGGAGAGGCAAAACCUUGGUUCCUCCACGAAGAAGGAGAAAUCUCGGUUGCAUCUUGUUGAACCAACUAAGUAGAGGUAUUCUCAUUUUGUCUGUCCUUGUUCAAAGGCCGCACCAACUUCUUGUGGCGUUGCUUCUAUGAAAUGCAGCCGCCAGGGAGGAAUUAUCUGAAGACAUGACAGGAAAGAAAAAAAAACUUUCAUCAGUUGCAGAUGUUCAGUUAUGAACUGCCUGUCAGAAGACAGUAACUUGGAUUAAGAAACAGAUGAAACAGGAAAAAACCAUCAAAGAAAUACUGAUCUAUGUUAGCAUGCCACCAUUUCUCUUGCUAGGCGUUGCAAAAAUCUCGAGUUCUUAGAUCUUUCAUGGUGUCGCCUCCUUACAGACGAGGCACUAGGAUUAAUUGCAGACAGUUGCUGGUCUCUCAGGUUGCUCAAAAUUUUUGGUUACACACAGGUAAAUAAUUUUUUGUUCAUGGCUUGUAAUGAUAAGCAGUUGGCACUAUUCGUUUUGCUUUCCUAUUGCCAUUGGUUUAUAACUGAUUUUCCAUGCCAGAUCUUUGUUUAUACUAAUUUGUAUUUGUUUUUAUAAUAAUUUGUAUUUAGACUAACAAGUAAGUAACGUGAAUGAUGUUCAUUACCAACUCUCCCUAGUUAUUUUAGCGCAAACAAGUAAUGUGCAUACUAGCAAUUAGAUCAUUGACUAAGUUACUGAUCGUAUCUGUUCUAAAAUAACAAUGACUGCUCUUGUGUCAGUCAGUCUCUGAUUUUUUAGGGAGAUAGGUGAUGUAUGGAGUGGAAAGGGGUUGUUGAUAAUGAGAGAUGUUAAUAACAAGUAAUGAGUGAUGACAUUCAAUUCCAAAAAUGCUUAUUUCGGGACCACACUACUAACAAGACAUUGGUUGUUAGAUCAAGGUUAUACAUACUAUUUGGACUGACUUGUUGCCUAGCAAGUUUCCGGUGUUGUAAUCUAUUUUAGAUUUUCUGGAGCAUGAUGAGAAACUUCACAAGAAAGUAAACUAUUUUAGAUCCAGAUUAUGGAACUGAAUAUUUCAGCAUCAUUGUAGGUCUCUAUUGUUAGGUAAGGACAUUGUGAAUCACAGGAGCUUAGGUGUUCCUAGGAUAGGGUAGGGUAGAGGUGUUCACAGGAGCACAGAAGCAUAAGUGUUCACCCAAGACAUUUAUUUGAAUGUCUCUUCUCCUAUAGUUUCCUGUCCACAUCACACCCUUUGCUCAUCUUCCAACUCAAAUUUACCUAUUUUUGUACCUGUUAUUUUUCAUGUGUUCCUAAACUACCUUCCAAAUAUAAUGAUUUUGUCCACUCUAUACCUGUCAUAAGACUUAGAUAAAUACAAAUACCAGAAGAAAUUUUCUUCCUCUUCUCAUUCAUUUUAUGUUUUUUUAAACUCAAAUCCUACCUUUUGUUUUUAUCUCAAAUGUGAUGGUUUAUCUUGAGCCAUCAUCUUAUAAGAAAGCAAAAGAUCAUCCAGGCCGGGUUGCUUCCGUAGACAAAGAAAUUUAGGCUGUAGAAUCAAAUGAAGUAGAGUAACCUACUGAUCUUCCUAAGAGUAAGAAGGGGCAUAGGUUUAACCUACUGAUCUUCCUAAGAGUUGCACUAGAAAAACCGUUCUUCUAAGUAACCAAGGUAAUGAAUUCCUUCUGCAGUCAUGAUGAAUACGAAAUAAUUAACCUGCAUGAAAAACUAAUAGGCUAAAGUCCAAAGAUAGGUAAACAAUUUGCGUGAUUAAACAAUUUAUAUGAAAUUCUCCUCAUGUUGUAAUUCAUUUCCUUCGUCCA